rnacentral:rRNA from 1 species
AUGCACUUCGUCCUUGUGUGCAAAGAUGGAGAGCCAACAACUAACACCUCUCACCAGCUACCUUUAGUGUUUCAAUCUCUUUUGCAGGAAUUCAAAGAUGUUUUCCCCGAUGAGCUACCUCCGGGUCUACCACCACUACGAGGCAUUGAGCAUCGAAUCGACCUCAUCCCCAGAGCGCCACUUCCAAACAAAUCUCCAUACCGUGUCAAUCCCGAAGAAACCAAGGAGAUUCAACGGCAAGUACAACAACUCAUCAACAACGGUCAUGUACGUGAAAGCUUAAGCCCAUGUGUCGUUCCCGUUAUACUUGUGCCUAAGCCCGAUGGAAGUUUCCGCUUGUGUUCUGAUUGCAGACCCAUAAAUGACAUUAUCGUUCGAUAUAGGCAUCCCAUUCCUCGCUUAGACGAUAUGCUUGAUGAACUUAGUGGAGCCAACUUUUUCUCAAAAAUAGAUCUUAAAAGUGGCUAUUAUCAAAUCCGCAUUCAAGAAGGUGAUGAAUAG